UACGUAGGGGGCUAGCGUUGUCCGGAUUUAUUGGGCGUAAAGAGCGUGUAGGCGGCCAUGUAGGUCCAGUGUGAAAACUCGAGGCUUAACCUCGAGAUGUCAUCGGAAACCAUUUGGCUAGAGUCCGGAAGAGGAGAGUGGAAUUCCUGGUGUAGCGGUGAAAUGCGCAGAUAUCAGGAAGAACACCAAUGGCGAAAGCAGCUCUCUGGGACGGUACUGACGCUGAGACGCGAAAGCGUGGGGAGCGAACAGG
rnacentral:rRNA from 1 species